rnacentral:lncRNA from 1 species
UUUCAGGGGAAACAAUUGAAGAGAAAAGAUAGAAUAACCCAGAAAGUAUUUCUAUCUUCUUCCCAUCACUGUCCUUGAAAACCNACACCUGUAUUAUGUUAUCUCUGCUCCCUCAUCUCAGGAGAAAGUGAGUGGGGAGAAAGUUUGAAGAAAGCUUCUCUUCAAGAGAUAGAGAAAUGCAAAUAAGCCAGAGAUAGAGAAAUGCAAAUAAGCAGUUUACUAGGUGAAAAGAAUGAACCAUUUGAGCAGCCAGAAAAGGGUCUGUGAAUUCUAGCUUCAUCUUCAUUUGCCAUCCAGUGUGAAGACCAGUGAGAAGACUGCUGCAAAGAUCUAUUUGCAGAUUGUACAGAAUAGA